rnacentral:rRNA from 1 species
GAUGAACGCUGGCGGCGUGCCUAAUACAUGCAAGUCGAGCGAACAGAUGAGGAGCUUGCUCCUCUGACGUUAGCGGCGGACGGGUGAGUAACACGUGGAUAACCUACCUAUAAGACUGGGAUAACUUCGGGAAACCGGAGCUAAUACCGGAUAAUAUAUUGAACCGCAUGGUUCAAUAGUGAAAGACGGUUUUGCUGUCACUUAUAGAUGGAUCCGCGCCGCAUUAGCUAGUUGGUAAGGUAACGGCUUACCAAGGCAACGAUGCGUAGCCGACCUGAGAGGGUGACAGGCCACAUUGGGACUGAGAUACGGCCCAGACUCCGACGGGAGGCAGCAGGGGGGAAUAUUGCACAAUGGGCGGAAGCCUGAUGAAGCAACGCCGCGUGCGGGAUGACGGCCUUCGGGUUGUAAACCGCUUUCGCCUGUGACGAAGCGUGAGUGACGGUAAUGGGUAAAGAAGCACCGGCUAACUACGUG